ACCUGGGAACAACUGUUUAUAUAUUAGAAAUGCAAGAAAAACACUGCAAAAAAAAUGCAAAGUAUCAGGCUCCACCUGAAUCAGAACCUCUAGAUGUAGGGCCCCGCAAGCUGUUUUAACAAUCCCUCCAGGAGAUUCUGAUGCUCACUAAAGUUUGAGAAUCACUGAUAAUCAGCAAACCAUCUAAUAAGAUCUCCUUUUGGACAGGGCUGGAAGAAAGAAUGAUCUACAUUGACACUUCUCAACUUAUGAGUGUCUGUUCAAAACCAGGAAUCCUCAGCUCAGAAAAACAAGACUGUGUUGGGCUGGAGGAAAGGCAGUAAUCAACUCCAUGUUCCAUGUGAGGAAACUGAAGACCAUGGAAGGCAAGUCGAGAGCCCCAAGGUUAUCCAGCUUCAAGGUCACCAGUCACCCAGCUUCCUUCUUUCGUGCAGCCAGAUGCCCAUCCCAGUACUAGGUUGCGCUAUGGGGAUCGUGGAGUAGCUUAAGGCUUCCCUCUGCCUGCCCCACCCCCACUGUGUUUAUAUUGUUGAGAAACUUAAUCCACGGAAAUAAAGUGUGGAUUAUUUUUA